rnacentral:lncRNA from 1 species
UCAUAGUUUAAUUUAUCAAACUAACCUUAUACAUAUUAAAUUAAAUUAAAUCACACCCCAUCACGUCUUCUUUUAGCUGCUAUUAGACUUGCUGAAAUGUUGUUGCUACUGUCGAUUGGAAUGUUGCUGCUACUCAAUUGAAUUAAAGCUGCUACUAUCUACUGAGAAACUCAUUUUAAGUUAUGCUACUGCAAUCAUGUUCUGCUAUUUUGCUACUGCACUCCCCAAACUCGUAUUUGUAUUGUUGUGCUACUACAUUAUUACUCGUUCGAGUCUGCUACUGUACUCAUCAUUAUUACCCAGUCAUCAUCCCUGCUACUUGUCAUUGAAUACAUCAUCCCUACUACUGCACUCAUCUCAUGUUGCUGUGCUACUACACUUAUUAUACUCAAGUUCUCAUCAAUUUCAAAAUGGAGCAACCUUGAGAGCAACCAUGUUAAAUGCUCAUCUAUCCCCAAAUAUCAUAACCUACAUUUAUACCCAUUACCCCAUACUAUUACUCCAAGCCUCUCAACCCACACGCUAGCUCACAUGCACUACCUUAACCAACACCAACAUUUCUUUCUCUCUGAAGUAUCAAACUUCUUCUCCUAAUACAUAAUAGCUGCCUUUUGCUUAAUUUUCACAUUGGUUCCACUCAUCGUCGUCCCUUCAAACCAAUCGGAAAGGUCAUCGGCAAAGAAGGCAUCCAGAAGUUUCAUGAAGCGUGCAAGGCUUCCAUCAAUUGCCAAUGUCAUGAACCCAUAUCUGAUAUCAUCACCAACUUGAUCCAUGAACCGAGGUGCGAUCUCAAGUUGGCUUGAGGCAUCUUAGCCCCUUGAGCCCAGGUAACCGAGGUGCGAUCUCAAGUUAGCUUGAGGCAUCUCAGCCCCUUGAGCCCAGGUCGAGCUAUCCUCAUAUCACAGAUUUGUCGAGAGAGAGAGAGAGAGAGAGAGAGAGAGAGAGAGAGAGAGAGAGAGAGAGAGAGAGAGAGAGAGAGNNNNNNNNNNNNNNNNNNNNAGAGAGAGAGAGAGGAGAAUCAGAUCAUCAGUUUGGGAAGAAAAGGAAUACAUUGUGGCAAUGUUGUGAUUUUGUUGUAAAUUUGACCAUUUUGGUAAUUUUUAGGCUUUCUGUUGUUGGAUUUGGCCCCACACGCAUGUCAUUUUUUGUUUAAAUCUUUUGAAAAGUAGGUUUUUUGACUCCAUACUCCAUCAUGACCCAAAUCUCAUUUCUCUUACAUCGUCUAUCUGAUAUGAACAGUUUAGAGCAUCUCCCAUGGUAAGCUAAAUUCUUAGCCAAAUUUAACCUAUAAAACAAGAAUAUUCUGUGGAAUCUUUUUUUAGCUUACCAGAGUUUCCCACCGUAAGCUAAAUCCUUAGCCAAAUUUAUAGCCUUUUGGCUUUAAAAAACACUCCCACCAUAAGCUAAAUCCAAAGGUAAAGCCAUUUGUUUUUCUUUUCUCAUAUGUUUGUUUAAAUCAAUAAUUACUCAUAAAAAAAAUAUUAUAUAAAUAUAUUCGAUAUGGAGCUCAUAUGAAAGAUCUCGUCGAGAUCAUCGUGAUGGUUGUAAGUAACGAAUUUUUAAUUUUGAUGAUAGUGUAAAUUAAAAGGAGAAAUGUAAAGUUAAAUAAAAUAACAUUUAAUUUUAGCUUACAAACUUCAUAAACCAAAUUUGGCUUACCAAAUAGCUCAAGCCAAAUUUUUUAUCUUGGAAAAUGUAAUUUAGCUUAUGGUGGGAGUAAACAUAGGCUAAAUUUGGCUUUUCAGCCUAUGGUGGGAGAUGGUCUUAACCUAAUGCCACUGUCUAUCUCAUUUCUCCUACAUCGUCUAUCUUAUUUUGUUUCCUCUGAAGACCCCAAGUGCCAUCCUACCAUCCCUAAUGCCAUUUCCAACCGGCAGCUGAAUUUCUCGAACCUCCUCCUCUGCUAAAAGGAGAGACAUAAUCAUCAACGAUUCACCUCUGAGUCUAUACAUCAACCAAUGAAGCCCUCCAUUCAACAAGAUAGCAUGGAAACUUUUUGGGUUAUUGUAAGGAAUAGCUUGUCAAUCCUUCGCCAAGAAUUAGUUUUCAAGGAAUAGAUAGACAUGAAACACAAUUAGAAGAUCAAGAGGAUCAAUCAUAUUCAUAUGUAUCUCUCCAUUGACCACCUUGUAGUUGCCGUCAGCAAAUCCAAACCCGAAGAAGAAGUUUAUUUGACCGAAGUUUUGGACAUAACGCGGCCGAAUUAUGUGCUUGGAUUUCCUGGUUGUCGGGUUGAGUAGACAUAGCCUUGACCCAGCUAAGUAGCACAACAACAAGCCGUUGCAAUGAAACAUCUAGUAAAGGUUGGCAGUAAACUCGGUCUUUCACCAAAUACAUGGGAAAGAUAAAGGGGAAGUGGCCUACACUUUUUUGCUCCACCGGCAAUAUGGCGAUCCGUAUAUAUGACUAUGUCUUUGAUAAAAUACAUACUCGUUCUGUAUGGCUCUAUCACGGUGCCUUUUGAUAAAUCCAGGGUCAGAAAUCAAAUCACGUAAUGGUUUUAAGACACAUUUGAAACGACACAAGGUUUUCACUAGAAGCCAUGAAAGAAUCUCGUCCAAGAUCUCCAGUGGAAGACUUAUUUUGCCAUUACGGUUAUGUUUUUCCAUAAUCGAUUCUCUUCUGGUCAUGUAGCUAGCUAGCUAGCUAGCUAGUGUCUUCCUAACAAUGGCGGUUCCUCGAUCUUUAGUCACAUGCGAAGGUUUUGUCAUUUUAUCGAUUUAGAUUGCUAGUUAUUUUGGAAUCUAUCUGAUCAGUAAGAGCAACUUUAACGGACUCUCUAUUUUAGCUUUUUGCUAUUUAGAGAGCUUAUUUAGCUUUUUUGGAUGUUUUAAGAGCUCUAGUAGACUAGCCAAACUUAAGCUAUUAUAACUUUUAGCUAUCUCGCUAGCUAUAUUUAGCUAGCGAGAUAGCUCAAAUGAGGCUAGCUAUAAUUUAUUACAUUCCUUGUAAGAUAUUUUAUGUGAUAUAUAAUUAUAUUUAAACUAUUUAAUUUCUAUUUGAAGAAUAAUGUUGAUGUAAUGCUAGCUAAAAUAGAGAGCAUUGAUGCAGCCAUAUUUCUAAAGUGGCUAGCCAAAAUGACAUUUUAGCUAAUUUGACUAAAAUUUAACUUAAAAAAGACUAGCAUUGCUAAAGAUGCUCUAAGACGGGAUUGGAAGUCUUAUAUAUAGCUUCUUUUCUUUCUUUGUGUGUGCGCCAAGGUAGGACGGUUGUUCACUUGAAUCGGGUUUGGGGUCGGGUUCGGGUUUAGUCUCCUCCUUAUAUAUAUGUAUGUAUGUAUUGUUUCUUAAUUAAGCUCACAUAUCGAUAUCCGAAUGAACUAGGAAUAGGAAAUCCUAACCUAACAUGCAUGGGAAAACAAAUUAUUAAUUAGUAUUCAACUAGGAAUUAAAGGAAAAUACACAGGAAAACCAAAACCUAGAUCGAAGGCCUAGCUAAUAUAUUAAGGAGUUAUCUCUUUAAAGAAACUGUUUUCAUAACUAAUUUAUUUUCUGGGUUUUUGUUAUAUUAUGAACAAGAACAUAGUCUUUUUUUUUUCUUUUUUUCUUUUUUCUAUGUCUUGGUUAUUUUUAUUGUAAAACGAUUUAGUUGUUUAGACUUUAAAUUCUAUUUUUUACUUCUUUUCUUUUAAUUUGAUUUGUU